AAAUUAACUCAAAAAGAGCAAAUUUUGUGCGUAAUUCCCGAGUUUUCAUGCAAUUCAUUUGUGCUGACUAUGGAGAAAGCAAAGACAGCAAAAUCCUACUAAAUAAUUUGGCCGUCCACAGAAAUGGCCCCUGUACAAAAAGAAACUGCCGUCAUAUUCAGUAUCAAUGGUCUCCCAAUGAGGUGAGUAAUCUAACCAACCGAAUAGCACCAAAUGAAAUAAUGAAUCCACUAGAUGAUCCCAGUAAAGUGUUACGCAAUCUACAAAUAUAAAAUCUUCUAGGCCACUUUGGCUCUCUGCAUGAUCAUAAAUCUUCUUCUACUUGCUCCCUCCACGUGCUCACCAAGCUUUGCCAAAUGAGUCAUCCGCCUUUUCCAAGAUUCAGUGGCCUCCAGUUGAUUUGGCUCCUUACUCGAGUCAGCCGAGUCAGUUUCUGAGGGUUCAAAAGAUUCCUUUGAAAUGGUCGCUUCUUCAUCUGAAUCCUGGAUUAUUUGCUUCAAAGACUCUACCACUUGAGUCAUCUUUGGUCGAUCCUUUGCACUCUUCAUCAAACAGCUGUCUGCUAACCUGGCAAUUUUUCGAGCGACAGCUAUAGAAUACUGGUUUUCAAGUCGUGGGUCAAUUAUCAACCCAAACUUUUUACUAUCAGGAGGGAAUUGCUUUACCCAUUCCAGCAACUUCUGCUCCGCUCUCGGGCGGUUUCUUUCCAAGGACCGCCUGCCAGUAAUAAUCUCGUAUAGUACAACUCCAGAGCUCCAUACAUCACUUUUAGUCGUGAGAUGCCCUGUCUCUAUGUAAUCCGGAGCAGCAUAUCCAUUUGUCCCCAUUACUGCUGUUGAAACAUGCGUUCGUCCAGCCACUGGCCCCUCCCUUGCAAGCCCAAAGUCUGAAAGCUUCGGUUUAAAAUUCUCAUCCAAUAAAACAUUGGAGGUUUUAAAAUCUCGAUAAAUAACCUGAAUUUCCAAGCCCUCGUGCAGAUAAGCCAACCCUUGAGCUGCUCCAAGUAUUAUUUGUAAUCUUGUUUUCCAAGGAAGUGCAGGGUAUGCCCUAUUGAAAAGAUGAUCUUCUAAGCUUUUGUUUGGCAUAAACUCAUAUACAAGUAGUCUCUGGAUUCCUCUUUCUCCGUCCGCAGCACAAUAUCCUACAAGUUUGACAAGAUUUGGAUGCUCCACCACACCUAGAAAUUGAACUUCUGCCACCCAUUGUUUAUGACCCUGCAAACCAUCUUUGUUAAGCUUCUUAAUUGCAACUACAAUGGGUUCACCUUUCCCAUCAGCAGGCUUGAUUGAGCCUUUGUAGACACUCCCAAAUCCACCUUCCCCAAUCCUUAAUAGUCUGUCGAAAUCAUGGGUCGCAUGUCUGAGCUCUGAGAAGGAGAAGACUCGCAGAUUGCGAGCCUUCUCCUCAUAUAAUUCGGGUAUACGACGCGCUGAAGUUUCCGAGCACGAGGAUUUUGCGAUUCUGUGUGUCCCCGACCCUGAAUAAUCCGAUUUUGAUUGCUCUUUCAACUCUGGUGCUGAUCUUUGUUGCCUGCUUCUGGAUUUGUCCUUGAAGUAGUGAAAACAUUUCAUUUUAGAAUAAUUUUCGAAGGCUGCAGCUUUUUCAGGAUUUGAAAUAGUAGAGAGAUCAAAACAGGGGAAGCAAAAACAAAAGGAAACUAAAUUAGGCAAGCGUUGAAUAUUGUUAUCGUCAAAGAAGAAGGCCGAAUAUACAGAGAAAAAGGGCAAAACAAC
rnacentral:misc_RNA from 1 species